rnacentral:rRNA from 1 species
CCUACGGGUGGCAGCAGUGAGGAAUAUUGGGCAAUGGACGAAAGUCUGAACCAGCCAGGUAGCGUGAAGGAUGACUGCCCUAUGGGUUGUAAACUUCUUUUAUAUGGGAAUAAAAUGUUCCACGUGUGGGGUUUUGUAUGUACCGUAUUAAUAACGAUCGGCUAACUCCGUGCCAGCAGCCGCGGUAAUACGGAGGAUCCGAGCGUUAUCCGGAUUUAUUGGGUGUAAAGGGAGCGUAGGUGGAUUGUUAAGUCAGUUGUGAAAGUCUGCGGCUCAACCGUAGAACUGCAGUUGAAACUGGCAGUCUUGAGUACAGGAGAGGUGGGCGGAAUUCGUGGUGUAGCGGUGAAAUGCUUAGAUAUCACGAAGAACUCCGAUUGCGAAGGCAGCUUACUGGACUGCAACUGACACUGAGGCUCGAAAGUGUGGGUAUCAAACAGGAUUAGAUACCCUUGUAGUC